rnacentral:rRNA from 1 species
UUGGAGGGCAAGUCUGGUGCCAGCAGCCGCGGUAAUUCCAGCUCCAAUAGCGUAUAUUAAAGUUGUUGCAGUUAAAAAGCUCGUAGUUGAAUUUCGGGAUCAAUAUUUCGGUCAUGCCGUUGGUAUGCACUGUUAUCAUUGAUUUCUCACCUUCUAAAGAACCGUAAUGCCAUUAAUUUUGUGUUACGGGGAAUUAGGACUGUUACCUUGAAAAAAUUAGAGUGUUUAAAGCAGGCUCACGCUUGAAUACAUUAGCAUGGAAUAAUGAAAUAGGACAUCCGAUUCUAUUUUGUUGGUUUCUAGGAUCGAUGUAAUGAUUAAUAGGGAUAGUUGGGGGCAUUAGUAUUCAAUUGUCAGAGGUGAAAUUCUUGGAUUUAUUGAAGACUAACUACUGCGAAAGCAUUUGCCAAGGAUGUUUUCAUUAAUCAAGAACGAAAGUUAGGGGAUCGAAGACGAUCAGAUACCGUCGUAGUCUUAACCAUAAACUAUGCCGACUAGGGAUCGGAUGAUGUUAAUUUUUUAAUGACUCAUUCGGCGCCUUACGGGAAAC